ensembl:lncRNA LINC01377 long intergenic non-protein coding RNA 1377
AGCUGAUUUGUUCCGUGGAGAGUCAGGCUACCUGGUCAUCCUACUCAAUAUCCAGGCCUGCCCGAACCUCAAGACUGGGUGGGCACCGUUCAGAGGCCCCCAGCCCCUGCCCUUCUCCUGCGAGGGCCGAGCUCACCGUCAGGUCCCUGGGGCUUGGAACUAAGUAGCCACUUCAUAAACACAUGGAUUUUGGGGUGCCCCGGCCCCCAUAAAGAGAUCAAAUUAUGUCUCCUGCAUUCUGCUGUAAUGAAAUGAAUCAUAAAAUAUGUUUUAGAAGAAAAUUACUAUAAAAAGUUUCAAAAUUGUUAUUUAAAAAGGAGUCUUCAGUUUUCAUUCCAAGUCACAAAGAACCACUUGUUCUUCACAUGAAAAUAAAUAUGUAGAGAGAGAGAGAGCAAGAAAGAGAGAGAGAGAAGGAAUAAUUAUGUACAAAGGAUAAAUCAGCUAAACAAAAGUGAUUUGGAACUUAAAAAGCAAAAAGGGGAAGAGAGAAUGGAGGCAUUUCUGUGCACAGGAGGAAGGAAAGAAGUAGUUUAAGGAAAGGACCCCGCCAACACGCAUAUUGACCCAAGGAAUCUUCGGGAUGGACUCUGCUUCUGAUCACAUCUUCACCUGCUCGAGGAUCACCUGUGGCACGUCGGGCUCUGAAUGCAAGCCCCAGGACACCCCAUUUCAUGCGUCUGCAUUCUUAACCUCACUGCGCAUUAACAUGCAUCUCAAUGCAUCCAAAAUACCGCACCCCCAUCACAUCAGAGAGCAUUAAAAAUAAGCCAGCUCAAUGCACAAAAAUGAGGGCGACAAUCGGAAACACAAUGAUGUUUCUAAAGAAUGUCCAACCUUAACUGCAGCUUUUCAGUUUCCAAAUUCUCUCUUCUUUAUCUCGUCAUUUCCCUGAAUCACUGGGGCCCAACAACACCAUUCUCAGUCAGAUGUCUGCCUGAGACACAUCAUUUCAAAUUCACCGGUAAAAUGUUUGCAGUUACCAGAAGUGACCUUGUUUUACACACCAACGUGAUGAAUUUAUGUGGGUGGCUUAGUGGAGCUGUUCAUUUCCAGCUUGGUAAUAUUUUAAUUAAUUAAAAGGGAAAAAUCAAUGAACAAA